ACCAAUAUUAUUUAUAUGCAUUACACUUGAACCCCGUCUCUCACUACCUUCCUGCUUUCCGUUUAGGGCUCGAAUGCGGAAGCUCUCGGUGCUCUUGCGCUAGGUUUCAUAGUUUUCAUCUUUGUAGUGGGCACGGCCAUUAGCAGACGGGGUUCUCUCUCUUUUUGUUUGUUUUGUUUGGUGGUUCUUCUCUUUUUGAAAGCAAGAUAUACGGCUGAUAUGAAAGGCGAAAGCAAGCUUCUGAAAUUGAAUAUAAGCACCAUGCUGGGGUUGCAGUGUGAGCAGUAGCAUGGGUGCAUGAACAUAAGAUGAGGAGAUUUUGAAAAUGUAAUGCUGAAGAAUUAUCGCUAGUGCUAACUUUGCUUCCAUCAUAACCAAGUUCUGACCAAUACAGAUUCUUGCUCCCAAUCCAAAUGGAAGAAAUGCAGCCAUAGGCCUUUUGGUAUCUGAGAACCUCAUUGGAUUAAACUCAUUUGCAUCUUCUCCCCAAAUCUUAACAUCAUGAUGUAUGGCUAAAGUUGGGAUGUAGAGUUGUGUUCCUGCAGGAAUAUGAAGGGCUCCUAACUUUACAUUCUUGCAUGUUUGCCUUGUUAGUGAUACAACUGGCGGGUACAAGCGCAGAGUCUCACAUAAUAUCAUAUUUACCUGUUGUUAAUCAAAGAAGUCGUUUAGAGAUGGAAGAUGAUAUGCCAUGAUUUUUUUUGUGUUAUUGUAUUGUCCAAGGUAGUUAACAAGAUCAUAAACACCUAUAUUGUAUAUUCACUUUAAGCU